rnacentral:rRNA from 1 species
GGGUAACCUGCCUGUAAGACUGGGAUAACUCCGGGAAACCGGGGCUAAUACCGGAUAACUCAUUUCCUCGCAUGAGGAAAUGUUGAAAGAUGGCUUCUUGCUAUCACUUACAGAUGGACCCGCGGCGCAUUAGCUAGGUGGUGAGGUAACGGCUCACCAAGGCGACGAUGCGUAGCCGACCUGAGAGGGUGAUCGGCCACACUGGGACUGAGACACGGCCCAGACUCCUACGGGAGGCAGCAGUAGGGAAUCUUCCGCAAUGGACGAAAGUCUGACGGAGCAACGCCGCGUGAGUGAUGAAGGUUUUCGGAUCGUAAAACUCUGUUGUUAGGGAAGAACAAGUACCGUUCGAAUAGGGCGGUACCUUGACGGUACCUAACCAGAAAGCCACGGCUAACUACGUGCCAACAGCCGCGGUAAUACGUAGGUGGAAAGCGUGGUCCGGAAUUAUUGGGCG